rnacentral:rRNA from 1 species
GUGUCAGCCGCCGCGGUAAGACGAACCGUGCAAACGUUGUUCGGAAUCACUGGGCUUAAAGGGCGCGUAGGCGGGUUCUCAAGUCAGGGGUGAAAUCUUUCAGCUUAACUGGAAAACAGCCUCUGAUACUGGGAGUCUCGAGGGAGAUAGGGGCAUGUGGAACUUCCGGUGGAGCGGUGAAAUGCGUAGAUAUCGGAAGGAACGCCGGUGGCGAAAGCGACGUGCUGGAUCUCUACUGACGCUGAGGCGCGAAAGCCAGGGGAGCAAACGGGAUUAGAUACCCCAGUAGUCC